AGCUAAUGGUGAGAUUUG
rnacentral:tRNA from 1 species